AUGACGGCCUUGGAAGAGUCAUGCUUCGUCCUUCAACAAACACUCCUUCAUGAUCGCGUAUGACCAUCCCAAUUGAAAAAGUGUUGUCUUCUAUUUUGAAUGCCGCAUCAACAUUAAGCUUCAACAUUCCUGGUUCUGGAGGUUUCCACUUCUUGUCUAUUACACUUCCUCCAGCAUCUCUGCUAUCCAUCGGUAAGUUAUGUCUAACAGCUUUCCAGUCCCGGAAAAUAGUAAAACUAUUCUCCAUUGCAACUCCUGGGUUAAUAAACUGAUUGUUCCACACCUUCUUGUUACGCCAGUACCAUAUCCCCCACAAUACUACACAAAUAUUUACCAACUCCUCAUGCUUGGCUGUUUCUAAUUGACAUAAUAACCAAAUGAGGGGCUGAAACCACAUCUGUUAAGUCAUGCACCAGAUGUACAACAUCCCAGCACCCAUUAGCAAACGGACAACCAAAAAACAAGUGCAAUAAAUUUUCAUUAUCUGCAUCACACAUUGGACAUGAACUAGAAAUGUUCACCCCUUUAUCUCGAAGUCUAGUUCUGACUGGGAGAUUAUCUCUGCACAAUCGCCACACAAAAAUCUUGAUCUUGUUUGGGAUAGACAAGCGCCAUAAACGACUCCAACCUCGUGACUGUAUACUUCUUGAGCUUCUAAUUAAAUGGUUCUGCCAUUCUCUAUAUCCAGUCUUCACAGUAUAUAUUCCAUCAGUAGACUUGGACCAUACUAUUCUAUCAACGACUUGACGUUGGGGCACAGAGGUAGCCAGAAUAGCGUUAGCAUCACCCUCGCUAAAAAGCUCACGAAUUUUAAUGGAGUCCCAGAAUUUAGUACCUUGAAGAAACAGUGUUGAGACUGUCUCAUUCCUUCCCUCGUACACCUGCAGAUUGUCCACCUUAUAGUUUGGUUUGAGAGCUAGCCAAGGGUCCCUGGUUGCCACCACUGAAUUGCCAUCACCAAUUACCCAUCGAAACCCACUGGCUAAAUACUCUUUGGCCUGCCAAAUACUAGUCCAGAGGAAGCUCGGUUUCACACCUUUCCUUGCUUCUAGAAUAGACUGAUGGGAAAAAGUGACCACAACGGCAACAACUAAGUGCGGAAUUAAUCUUCGUUGGACAAUACUUAUCCCUACUUGUAUGAACCUUCGAUGAAACAAACAAGUAAAGCAACAAUAAACAAUAAACAAGACACCAAGAAUUAUACGUGGAAAACCCCCUCAAUGAAAGGAGUAAAAACCACGGGACCGUAGUCCACCCAAACAAUUCACUAUGAUAAAUUAUAUGGGUAAUACACCAAGUUCUUCUCCAGAUAAAACUAGAGGAAUACAAUCACCUUCACACUCUUGGAAUAACUCGUCAAGAAGUAUGGAACCAAAUAAGCAACAAAAGAACAAAGACCCACGGCUAGGUUCAGCCUCUCCACGGCUCUUUAGCUACUGCCCAGCCCCUCAAAUACACCUCCGAAUCCGAUCUCCACCGUUCAGAAUUUAGAUAUCGGUGUUAGGAAGAUGCUGUCCGAAAUUCAGGACGAUCCGACCGUUGGAACUCCGGGAAACGCAAAAACAAGGCAGCCAGCGCAACCAGAAAAUUACCUACGAAUUUUCACACAAUAUAUCUCUUUUGCCUAUUUUCUCUCUUGCUUAUUUUCACAAAUAUCCUCCUAUAUUUAUAUAUAGGGUUCCCUUUAUUUUUAUCUCCUUGUGGGCCAAAACAAGGGUAAUCCUAUUGGGCUUUUAAUCUCAUAGGUAGAAACUAAAACCCAACAAAUCUCCCCCUUUCUAACUAUGAGAAAGAGUUCGCCAUUCCGGCGAUCGAACAACAUACCUUUAGCUUCCCUUUAGCUAAAGACUUUGUCAACAUAUCAGAACCAUUAUCAUCGGUGUGUACCUUUUCCACUUCAAACAACCCUUCUUCAAGAGCGUCUCUAAUCCAAUGAUACCUCAUAUCGAUAUGUUUCGUCCUUGCAUGAAAUGUUGGAUGCUUAGCUAUAUCGAUAGCUGCUUGAUUAUCACAAAGAACAACAUAGCGUUGUUGCGGGAAGCCAAGCUCCUGCAUCAACCGCUUUAACCACAACAACUCUUUACAAGCUUCAGUUGUUGCUACAUACUCUGCCUCCCCCGUAGAAAGUGAAACACCCUUUUGCAACCUAGAUUGCCAUGAGACUGCUCCCCCUGCAAAAGUCAUCAAAUAUCCAGAAGUGGAUUUCAAUGUAUCCUUAUCACCUGCCAAGUCAGAAUCUGUAUAUCCAAUAAGCACUGGUUUAUCAUUCCCAAAUGUAAGACCCAAUUUGGAAGUACCUCGAAGAUAUCGCAUAAUCCACUUAACUGCUUCCCAAUGCUUCUUACCCGGAUUUGUAAGAUAACGACUGACAACCCCAACUGCAAAGGCUAUAUCAGGUCUCGUAGAUACCAUAGCAUACAUCAAACUUCCUACUGCUGAGGCACAUGGAACUCCAUCCAUCUCUGCAAUUUCUUCCUUCGUAGAAGGAGAAUCCUUUUCAGUUAACUUAAAGUUGGUAGUAAGAGGAGAACUAACAACUUUAGCUUUAUCCAUGUUGAACCUGCAAAGCACCUUCUCAAUAUAUUGCUCUUGUGAUAUAUGCAACUUCUUGGCCACUCUAUCUCGAUGAAUACGAAUGCCAAGAAUCUGUUUCGCUGGCCCCAAGUCCUUCAUGGCAAAGGACUUACUCAACUGUUGCUUCAGUUGGGAAAUUCUUUCAGUAUUUUUGCCAACAAUAAGCAUGUCAUCCACAUAAAGCAAUAAUAUGAUAAAAUCAUCAUCUGAAAAUCUCUGAACAAAAACACAAUGGUCAGAAAUAGUCUUACGGUAGCCUUGCUUCUUCAUAAAUGACUCGAACUUUUUAUACCAUCGCCUUGGUGCUUGCUUCAAACCAUAUAGACUUUUUAGAAGUCUACAAACAUACCCCUCUUUACCUUUAACCUCAAAACCUUCAGGCUGCUCCAUAUAGAUUUCUUUGUCCAAGUCACCAUGUAGAAAAGCUGUCUUGACAUCCAUUUGUUCAACCUCCAAAUCAAGACUAGCUGCUAAACCAAGCACCGUACGAAUUGAUGUCAUCUUAACAACGGGAGAAAAAAUCUCAUCAAAAUCAAUACCCUUUUUCUGACUGAAUCCCUUGACGACCAACCUAGCUUUGUACCGUGGUUGUGAAGUAUGCUCAUCUUGCUUCACUCUGUAAACCCACCUGUUCUUCAAAGCUCGUUUUCCCUUAGGUAGCUUCACCAACUCAAAAGUAUUAUUCUCAUACAAGGAUUUCAUCUCAUCUUGCAUGGCAUAAACCCACUCCUUCUUGUGCUCAUCUUCCAUAGCUUCUGCAUAAGAUUCAGGUUCACCACUAUCAGUCAAUAGAACAUACUCAUCAGCAGAAUACCUGUUGGAAGGAUGACGAUCUCUGUUAGACCGCCUGAGUGGAACGAAUGGUGGAACAUUUUGUACCGGUGACUCCUCAUGGGCAUCAUCAUCCAUGUCACUAUUUUCGGGAAUAUCAGUAUUAGUGUCAUGUUGGUCAUUAUCAUGAGCAUCGUCUCCAACCUGCGAGUCCACAUGUCUUGGAGGAACUGGAUCCAAAUCAACCAGAUCAUUGUUAUGUUGAGGAACUGACUCUGUCUUCCCAACAUCUUUCAAACUCUGAUCUUCAAUAAAGAUAACAUCUCGGCUUCUCACAAUCUUCUUUGAAACUGGAUCAUAGAGCCUAUAACCGAACUCAUCUUGGCUAUAACCAAGGAAUAUGCACUCUUUAGUCUUCACAUCUAGUUUAGACCUUUCAUCUUUGGGAAUAUGCACAAAAGCCUUGCAUCCAAAGACACGCAAAUGAUCAUAAGAAACAUCUUUACCACUCCAAACUCUAUCUGGAAUAUCAAACUGUAAAGGAACACAAGGUGAGAGAUUUAAUACAUUUACCGCAGUAUUCAGUGCCUCACCCCAGAAAGACAUCGGCAACUCAGCAUGUGAAAGUAAACAUCUGACCCGCUCCACUAGUGUUCUGUUCAUCCUCUCUGCCAAACCAUUAAGCUGAGGUGUCUUUGGUGGAGUCUUUUGAUGCCGAAUACCCUGCUGUCUGCAAUACACAUCAAAGGGACCUGUAUACUCCCCUCCAUUAUCUGUCCGGAUACAUUUCAGUUUCUUCCCAGUCUGUCUCUCAACUAAAGCCUGAAAAUGCUUAAACACGUCUAAUACUUGAUCUUUAGUCUUCAAGGUAUAAACCCACAACUUCCUUGAAUGAUCAUCGAUGAAUGUAACAAAAUAUAAUGAACCACCAUUGGUUCGGGUUUUCAUGGGACCACAAACAUCGGAAUGCACCAAGUCAAGUAUAUGCUCUCUACGAGAGGGAGGACGACUCUUAAAAGAAACUCUGUUUUGCUUGCCAGCAACACAGUGAGAACACCUUUUCAAAUGUAUAUCAGUCAGACCAGAUAGUACCUUUUUCUUCGACAGCAUAUUCAUUCCUUUUUCAGUCAUAUGAGCAAGUCUCUUAUGCCAUAAAUCGAUCAUAUCAACAUUCUCCACAGCGUUAACAAUGCCAGUAGAGACUUUAGGUUGUGUCAUAUAUAAUUUCGGACACCUCUUUCCUCUUGCAACAAUUAAAGAACCCCGAGUGAGCUUCCAUUGACCAUUACCAAAGCUGCUAACAUACCCUUCAUCAUCAAGAAGGCCUGUUGAAAUUAAAUUCAUUCGCAUAUCUGGAACGUGCUUCACAUCAUGAAGAAAUAACUCCAUGCCCGUGUCAAACUUCAGACAUACCUCACCGACGCCAACAACUUUUGAUAUGCCACUAUUACCCAUUUUAACAUCUCCAAAAUCACCAGAAGUAUAAGAUGUAAAGAAGUCCCUUCGUGACGUAACAUGACACGAAGCACCACUAUCAAUAGCCCAACUCAUAUCAUCUUGUGCAAGGUUAACAAUAUCUCCAUCACAACAAAUCAGGUGCUCAUCAGUAGUAGCAAUCACCACAGAAUUAUCAUUACUACUGUCAGUUUUCGUCUGAUCGUUGUCUGAGCUCUUUUUAUUUUCUCGCUUCAACUUUCUGCAGAACUUUUUCGUAUGUCCCUUCUUACCACAAUGAUAGCACUCAACAUUAGAAUACUUACCUCUAGAACUACUCCGUUGAUUACCUCUAUUGGCUGGACCUCUGCUUUGAGCUCUCCCCUUCCUUUCGGUGACUAGGACUUCUGACUGUGAAGAGGAACCCUGUGACUUUCUUCUCAUCUCUUCAUUCAGAAUACUGCUCUUAGCUAGUUCCAUACUGAUAAUACCAUCCGGAGCUGAGUUCGACAAAGACAUCCUGAAUGUCUCCCAAGAAUCUGGUAAAGUACCCAAAAGACACAAUCCCUGUAUCUCAUCUUCAAACUUGAUACCCAUUCCAGCAAGCUGAUUCAUAAUUCCUUGGAAUGCAUUCAAGUGAUCAGAAAUUGUAGUGCCAUCUUGAUAUCGUAGAGACAUCAACUGUUUAAUCAGAUACAACUUAUUAUUUCCCGUCUUUCGAGCAUAGAGUUGCUCGAGCUUGUUCCACAAAGUACGCGCAUGUGUCUCUCCACUAAUAUGGUUCAAAACAUUAUCAUCCACCCAUUGCCGUAUAUACCCACAAACCUGUCGAUGCAAAAUAGUCCAUUCUUGCUCGGUUUUAUUUGCAGGCUUCUCCGUAGUAAACACUGGUAGAUAAUAUUCCUUCACAUAAAGAAGAUCCUCCAUCUUUCCUUUCCAAACAUGAUAAUUGGAACCAUUCAAAUUAACCAUUCUACUCGUAUUCGUUUCCAUCGUUCAAACAAGUUCAAAAACACAACCUGGCUCUGAUACCAAUCUGAUGGGAAAAAGUGACCACAACGGCAACAACUAAGUGCGGAAUUAAUCUUCGUUGGACAAUACUUAUCCCUACUUGUAUGAACCUUCGAUGAAACAAACAAGUAAAGCAACAAUAAACAAUAAACAAGACACCAAGAAUUAUACGUGGAAAACCCCCUCAAUGAAAGGAGUAAAAACCACGGGACCGUAGUCCACCCAAACAAUUCACUAUGAUAAAUUAUAUGGGUAAUACACCAAGUUCUUCUCUAGAUAAAACUAGAGGAAUACAAUCACCUUCACACUCUUGGAAUAACUCGUCAAGAAGUAUGGAACCAAAUAAGCAACAAAAGAACAAAGACCCACGGCUAGGUUCAGCCUCUCUACGGCUCUUUAGCUACUGCCCAGCCCCUCAAAUACACCUCCGCAUUCGCUCUCCACCGUUCAGAAUUUAGAUAUCGGUGUUAGGAAGACGCUGUCCGAAAUUCAGGACGAUCCGACCGUUGGAACUCCGGGAAACGCAAAAACAAGGCAGCCAGCGCAACCAGAAAAUUUCCUGCGAAUUUUCACACAAUAUAUCUCUUUUGCCUAUUUUCUCUCUUGCUUAUUUUCACAAAUAUCCUCCUAUAUUUAUAUAUAGGGUUCCCUUUAUUUUUAUCUCCUUGUGGGCCAAAACAAGGGUAAUCCUAUUGGACUUUUAAUCUCAUAGGUAGAAACUAAAACCCAACAUAGACACAUCAGGGAAAUACCUUGCUCUUAGCACACGAGAAACUAGUAAAUGAGGGUCCUGAAUACACUUCCAAACAUGCUUU
rnacentral:lncRNA from 1 species